GUCCUGCUUUAGUGAAACACACAUGAACAAUGGUUCUUCAUUCAGUCAUCCUACUUUUGGCCUUGACAUCUGUGAGUUUUGGAGCUGAAAUCACACCAGACAGCACUGAGGAAUCUGCUGCAGUGGGUUCAACUGUUACUUUAUCCUGCAGUUAUUCCUCUGCAAACUCACUUCAAUGGUACCGUCAGUAUCCCCGAUCAGCUCCUCAGUUUCUUGUGCUCAUAAUAGAUGGUAUAAAAGAGACUAAGCCAUCUAGUGUAGAUCCCAGAUUCUCUACUAAGCUCAGAAAAGAAAAUCAAGCAACAAAAGAGAUCAGCCGUGUGGAUCUGAUCAUCUCCUCUGCUGCUGUAUCAGACUCUGCUCUGUAUUACUGUGCUCUUGUUCUCAGAGAUUCGCUAGGAACUGCAGCAGUGAACAUAAUUGAAUUUACGGAACUCAAUUUGGGUAUCAUGUGGUUCAGAGAGGAGGGACUCAGUGUUCACAGAUCUGACAUGAUCUAA